rnacentral:misc_RNA from 1 species
CUCGGCCUCGGACCGGGUCGGGAACCGGUGGUAGCGGGCCACGCCCACCAUCACGUCGUCGAGCAGGGCGAGGAAGGCCAUGCGGUCGGCGUAGUCGACGUGGGUGAGCUGGUGGAGCUCGUCGUCGGACAGCCGAGGAUGCG